UGCCUCUACACAUACCUCCAGGUCCA
rnacentral:piRNA from 1 species